rnacentral:rRNA from 1 species
GGCGGCUCGAGUGGUGGCCACUAUUACUGGGCUUAAAGCGUUCGUAGCUGGUCUGUUAAGUCUCUGGGGAAAUCUACCGGCUUAACCGGUAGGCGUCUCAGGGAUACUGGCAGACUAGGGACCGGGAGAGGUGAGGGGUACUCCAGGGGUAGGAGUGAAAUCCUGUAAUCCUUGGGGGACCACCUGUGGCGAAGGCGCCUCACCAGAACGGCUCCGACAGUGAGGGACGAAAGCUGGGGGAGCAAACC